rnacentral:rRNA from 1 species
GAUGAACGCUGGCGGCGUGCCUAAUACAUGCAAGUCGAGCGAAUGGAUUAAGAGCUUGCUCUUAUGAAGUUAGCGGCGGACGGGUGAGUAACACGUGGGUAACCUGCCCAUAAGACUGGGAUAACUCCGGGAAACCGGGGCUAAUACCGGAUAACAUUUUGAACCGCAUGGUUCGAAAUUGAAAGGCGGCUUCGGCUGUCACUUAUGGAUGGACCCGCGUCGCAUUAGCAAGUUGGUGAGGUAACGGCUCACCAAGGCAACGAUGCGUAGCCGACCUGAGAGGGUGACCGGCCACACUGGGACUGAGACACGGCCCAGACUCCUACGGGAGGCAGCAGUAGGGAAUCUUCCGCAAUGGACGAAAGUCUGACGGAGCAACGCCGCGUGAGUGAUGAAGGCUUUCGGGUCGUAAAACUCUGUUGUUAGGGAAGAACAAGUGCUAGUUGAAUAAGCUGGCACCUUGACGGUACCUAACCAGAAAGCCACGGCUAACUACGUGCCAGCCGCCGCGGUAA